ACCUACGGGGGGCAGCAGUGGGGAAUAUUGCACAAUGGGGGAAACCCUGAUGCAGCGACGCCGCGUGAGCGAUGAAGUAUUUCGGUAUGUAAAGCUCUAUCAGCAGGGAAGAAGAUGACGGUACCUGACUAAGAAGCCCCGGCUAACUACGUGCCAGCAGCCGCGGUAAUACGUAGGGGGCAAGCGUUAUCCGGAUUUACUGGGUGUAAAGGGAGCGUAGACGGCGAUGCAAGCCAGAUGUGAAAGCCCGGGGCUCAACCCUGGGACUGCUCUGGAAACUGUAAAGCUGGAGUGCGGGAGGGGCG
rnacentral:rRNA from 1 species